rnacentral:piRNA from 1 species
UAAUGUAUGGAUGGAGUGCUUGCUUGC